GAUGAAGAACGUAGCAAAAUGCGAUAAGUAAUGUGAAUUGCAGAAUUCAGUGAAUCAUCGAGUUUUUGAACGCAUAUUGCGCCCUCUGGUAUUCCGGGGGGCAUGCCUGUUCGAGCGUCAUUAAAUAACCCUCAAGCAUAGCUUGGUGUUGGGCUUUUUUACGUCCUUGACUGGGAUGGGCCUAAAAAUUAGUGGCGAUGGCUUUUUUACUUUCAAGCGUAGUAAAUCUCGUCUUGCUAAAGAGGAAAAAGAUUUUUUUUCUGCCAAAAAUUUUAACAUUUAAAGUUGACCUCGGAUCAGGUAGGAUUACCCGCUGAACUUAAGCAUAUCAAUAAGCGAGGA
rnacentral:misc_RNA from 1 species